UCCCACAGUCUAGCCCAUCUGGCAGCUUUGUGAUACCGGACAUAACCCACAAAAGCUUGAGCUGUUUCAUUUUCUGAAUAAAUGAGUUCUCAGUCACUGUGAUCAAAGUUCAGUGUUCUUCAUCUGAGGUCUCCAAUCCCCUCUGCCUGGAGCCUGGCCACCAGCCCAGCCAGGGUGCUCCUUGUUCCAGUGAAAAUCUGCAAUCUCACAUAGAUCUCACAAUACUUGUACAGCAGGUGGUGUCCAUAUUCACUCCUCAUAAUCUUCUUGUGCAGUCCUGAUUUACCUCUAUGCGUGACUCAAGGUCCGAGAUGCCCAGGGCAGCCCUGAUGUAUGUGUUCCCAUGCAGCAGCUGUGUCUCAUCACAAAGCUCACUGAAAGAUGCUCCACUUGCUCACUGCCCAAACAGGUAACUCUGGCUCUGGAUUUCUUCUUCCCAAAUGUUGCAGCUGCAUCAAUAUCACUCUUUUAUUUUAGAUCCUUCAUAAAUCUCACAUGUUAUAUUGACAAAAAAAGGAUCCUCUAGGGUCUUCUCAUCUCUCUGAUGUACACAAGCCAAGGAACUGUGCAUUUCACCACCUCUGUGAUGCAGUUGUUGCAGUGCUGGUGCAGGAGGAGGAGCUCAAUUGCUGCUCUUUUUGCAACAAAGGAAUCAGAUGUUGCAGAGAAGAAGCAGCCUCCUGUCGGCAUGGUUACCUCAUUCUACACUCUUCUGGAAAGAAAAUGAACUGUUAAGACUUUUCCAAAUGCAGCCCUGG
rnacentral:lncRNA from 1 species